CCCGAAAAUCUAGUCAUGAUUUCGGACCACUAUGGAGUUAGCGAUCUCCGUGAUCAGGGGCGGACCUUUAGAGGGGGCUACACUGGGCCUGGCCCCUGGUAACUUUUGGAAAAAAAAAAUUUAAGGCCCAAUAAAAAAAUAAAAAAAAAAGAAAAGAAAGAAAAAGCUGAAAGUUUCGAAAGAACAGAAACACUGAAAGUCUAAAACAGCAAAGAUGAAACAUUGAAACUCAUUAACCCAAGGAAAGAAGUGCUCGUCCAGUAGAUCGAUCUCACCGUCCUCAAGUCACCAGUCACCUAACCGUCGCGGCGUCGCUGCCUGCCAGCCUCACGGAGUCACGGCCUCAGUCUUCAAUUGUUCUUUGCUUAAUUGCUUACGCUAAUUCGUUGAAUCCGUUCGACCUUCAACUUCAACCGUUCUUCAAUAGUUCAAUUCGGUCAUCAAUUCGUUGCCUCAAUCCAUGAAUCAGGAUAGGAAGGAUUGAAGGAAAGCUCGCUGCCGCGUUGAUUGCAAUCUCCAACCUUUAACAGCCCAAGCCAAGCACUUGGAGAAGCACAAUGAGUCACUCGACGAUGAUUAUGAGAGAAUGUCUCAUGAAUUGCACAGGCUGCAGAGCGAAGUGAACAGAAUGACAGCUAUCGAGGAUGUCGACGAGAUAUUUAGGUUCGUAGCAAAUGGGAAGCAGGGGUAGUUGAGGCAAAGGCUAUGAUUAUUGGGCUUAAAAUGGCGAUCCAGUGUGAUGCUAAACAUGUUGUCAUGGUGAGUGAUUGUGAGCAGCUAAUUCGGUUGUUACAGGGUAAGCAAAGUGAUGGAUCGUUCUUGGGGAUGCUUACUAAGGAGAUUAAGAAUGUUGCUAAGUUUUUUUGAGAGUAUUGAUGUUGUUCAUGUUUUUAGAGAAGCAAAUUGUGUAGCUCAUGCUAUGCCUCACCUUAGCCCACUCAUAUAUUUAACGAGAGUGCGGGUGGGGGGUUGUCCAAGCACUGUAGUGGAUGUAGUUGCUACUGACUUUUGCUUGAACUCUAAUAAUAAUUAGUCAUCUUUUCUCAAAAAAAUAAAAUAAAACCCCGUUGUAUGUUGUUUGACUCUCUUUAGGAUAGAUAAUUAGUAUUACAUACAUUUGCAACUCUCCUUAACAUGGACUAUUACUGUUGAUUGAGUUGCUUGCUUUGGGCUUAUAAAUGAUAUUUCGGUCGGACAAAAGUUAAAAUAGCUUUUAUGCUUAUCGGACCUAAUCAUCACUUCCAUUUAUUUUCCUCUUUAUUUAUUUGUACGUCUUUCAUUUUUCAUAGUUGAACCAAAUAUACCGAAACUUUUAUAGUUUUCAACAAAGAAAGUGAAAAUACUUUUACUUAAUAUUUAAUAGAAGAUAUUGUUUUUUUUUUUUUUCCUUCUCUAUUUACUCUAGAUGCACAUAUAUUAACCAUUAAAAAUUUUGCAACACAGUCCAUUGAGUGAAAUUUAAAAUAACAAUUUCAAAACAUGUGCAUUUUUACUCAUCAGUAUAAUCUAAAGUGUAAAAAAUGUUGAAUUUUUUUCAUACCAAUUACACUUUCAUAACAAUUUCAUAAGCAAGACUAAUAUAUUGUUAGUAAUGAUAAUUUAUCUACAUGGUCAAAUUUUAUUUAGAAUUGCUAAAUAGUUAUCUUAAAUAACAUGGAGCGGCUAAAGCUCAUAUCUAAUAGAUGAACAUAAUAAUAUGUGCCUCCAAUGUAAUACAAGGAUCGUAUGACAAAUUUUAGGCUUUAUAACAAUACAAACAUUGCAUUAUCAUCUAUAAUCAUUGCAUACACUCACAGAUCUAAAAAAAAUGAUUUGCAAAAUUAAAUACCUAUAUGUAAAGUAAAUGUAUGCAUUAUAGUGUUUGGUAGUAAAAAAACAUAAACUUUAAAUCAGUUAUAUCAAAUAGAGUACCAAACGAUCCGCGAACAUAGUGCACGGGCGUCCGAAUUAGUUAGUUAUAAAAUAUGAAAUAUUUUUACGUUACAUGAAAUAAAUUACAUCAAAAUCAUUUAUAAAUUAACAAAUAAAGUGAAAUCACCAAUGUUCAUAUUUGGUUUAAAAUCUUUUUGUGUGAUCUUGAUUUACAAAUUUUUUAUGAAGGGACAUUAAGAUUAAUAGGACUAUGAUAAGUUUAUGGUAUGAUUUUUCUUAUGUCUAUUUUUCUAAUAAUUUGGGUCGUUGCGGCUAAGUAGGCAAGUGUUUCUUAGCUCGUUUGGAUAUCGAGCCAGCCAGUAAGAUUCAUCAACUUUCAACCCCUUGUAGGACUUUAGGUCUUAUAAGCGAAAUUUCAUGAAUCAUUCAUACGCACCUAAAUCAGGAUCACAAGCAUAACACACAAGAAUCACAUAAUUAUACCUUUGAAGCGUGAAUUUCAUGUAGCUAUUCGAUUGACAAACCAGGGAGAGAAUAGAGCCCCAAGCGUGACUCCUCUACUUAGUCCACGGGAUUAGAACAACCGUCCACCAAUGCUAGAUUGGUCGAGAGAAAUGGAAAACCGCGAUCACCACCUUCCUUAAACAACCGACCACCACGAAUGAUCACCACCACCACCGCACACCACCGUCGUCUAGGGGAGGAGAGAGCCAUGAGAGAGAGGAAAUUUGAGGGGGUUGGGUUUCGUGUUUGCUAAUUAAGGUUUGAUCUCACUGAUCAUGAAUUUUCAAUUCAACCCUAGACACUUAGUCUAUUUAUAAUCCUAUUAUAAUUAGACUAGGAGCAAAGCCGAAACCCUCUUAAACACCUCCAUAUGGCCGGUCACCUAGGGGAGAAGGCCCAUCAUGGGUCUUUUCCUCUUAUGCUUGAUCUAGGCCCUUUAUGUGACCUUAUAGAAUCCGUCCAAUUGGGCUUUGGCCUAUUUUACUAGCUUAAAGAUCGUUAGUACCUCUAGCUAUGAUAUAACGAU